rnacentral:rRNA from 1 species
GCUUGCUCUUCUUGGAUGAGUUGCGAACGGGUGAGUAACGCGUAGGUAACCUGCCUUGUAGCGGGGGAUAACUAUUGGAAACGAUAGCUAAUACCGCAUAACAAUGGAUGACACAUGUCAUUUAUUUGAAAGGGGCAAUUGCUCCACUACAAGAUGGACCUGCGUUGUAUUAGCUAGUAGGUGAGGUAACGGCUCACCUAGGCGACGAUACAUAGCCGACCUGAGAGGGUGAUCGGCCACACUGGGACUGAGACACGGCCCAGACUCCUACGGGAGGCAGCAGUAGGGAAUCUUCGGCAAUGGGGGCAACCCUGACCGAGCAACGCCGCGUGAGUGAAGAAGGUUUUCGGAUUGUAAAGCUCUGUUGUAAGUCAAGAACGAGUGUGAGAGUGGAAAGUUCACACUGUGACGGUAGCUUACCAGAAAGGGACGGCUAACUACGUGCCAGCAGCCGCGGUAAUACGUAGGUCCCGAGCGUUGUCCGGAUUUAUUGGGCGUAAAGCGAGCGCAGGCGGUUUGAUAAGUCUGAAGUUAAAGGCUGUGGCUCAACCAUAGUUCGCUUUGGAAACUGUCAAACUUGAGUGCAGAAGGGGAGAGUGGAAUUCCAUGUGUAGCGGUGAAAUGCGUAGAUAUAUGGAGGACACCGGUGGCGAAAGC